AACACUUAAAACCCAAUACUAGUUUACUACUCACCUUGAUAGCUUUGUAACUUUGAACUUCUUUCCAAAAGCUCUCAAGCUAUUAAUAAAGCUUCCUCUUUCUCUCUUUAAAACACCUAACUAGUGAGAGAUUAUGGAAACAAGAUUUUCAUCAUUUUCAAGGGUUUUAAAGUGAGAGAGUGGAAGAAUACAAGGGUUCUAGUCAAAAGGGCACCAAGGUAUGAAAAUUAGAACUAGAGAGAGAAAGUUAUGAAAGCUUCACAUCAAGCUUCCAUGGAGGAAUUGAAGAAACGUGAGAGGGAAGAGAACAAGAAGAAGAAGCUGUUAGAAAUCCCAAGAAGUUGCUAAAAGGAGAGGAUAUUUAUGGCCGAAGCUUAUCCACUCCCUUGGAAAUUACUAAAAUGCAUCUUCAUAAAUUAGCUUAAUCCUUGAAAUCCCACACUUUUUCUUCAAUUUUCCCACCUAGGGUUUGUGUUCUUUCCUUUCCUCUUCACUUCAUGCUUUGGCCAGCCAUAUGGGUGAGACUAAGAGAGUUUUAAAUAGAUUUUACAGGGAAAUUCUAGAAUAAUCCAAUCUUGACACAUGGCUUGUUUCCAUUGGUCCAUGCGUAAUACUUAUCCAUUAAGCAAUCUCUCUCCACCACAUAAAAUGUUUCAAUUAUCCACAAUGUAAAAUGUUAAUGGCUGAAAUCCAUGGGCAUGACAAGUGUCAGGUGGUGUAAAAUUCCAAAAAUUUCCAUUUUGUCCUCGAGUGAUAAAAUUACCAUUUUGCCCCUAGAACAUGAAAAUCAUCAAAAUUUUUAUUUCCUUGUCAUUUCACCCAUAUUUUCAUCAUUCAUUUAUGCUUUAGGCCUACUUAAGCUAUAAUAUUGUUUAAAACUUACUUUUAUGGGCUUAUUGAGAAAAUGACAAAAUUACCCCUGAUUAGGGAUAUCGCGUAUAUUUCUAUCUAUGAGUCUAUAAAGGUCAAGGUCUCACAUUGUCCCCCACUUAAAGAAUUUAGGUCCCCGAAUUUAAAUUCAACUAUGAGGUGACUUACCUCUAUGCAACAAGAAGGUGGGGAUACUUUGUCCGCAUAUCCUCAUCGGCCUCCCAUGUUACCUCUUCACUCCAUCUGUGCCUUUGGUAAACAUUUUUCCUUUUCUUCCCUAAGGACCCUCUAAGGCCUUAGCUACAAACUCAUCUUUACUUUGUGUUUCUUUAAUCCUGUCCAUUAAAAUAUGCCUCACUCUAAAAUAUGCUAGCAAUGCAUUUGUCUCAGCAACUUCCCAAUGCACACCUAUGUCUCCCAAGCUAUGGAUCUCCCUAACCAAGGAUCUCCUAUCUGUAGCAAUAUGUGCCAGACUCCCCAUGGUGAGAUGCUAGGUCAGAUAAAGCCUUUAUCGAGCAAAUCUUCUAAUUGAUCCUUAAGCUCUUUAAGCUCUGCAAGUGCCAUUCUAUAUGGGGGUAUGGAUAUAGGUCUAGUGUCGGGAAUCAAAUCUAUGCAAAAUUCAAUCUCCCGCUUGGGAGGUAAACUUGGCAAUUCCUCGGGAAAUACAUCCAUGAACUCAUUCACCACCGACACUUGACUUACAUUUCCAACCUUCGCCUGAGUAUCCCUUACCACUGCCAAGUAACCUAUACAACCCUGUUGUAAUAACCUUCGGGUAGACAGGACCGAUAUCAAAUUGGUUCGAACAUUACUUUUAUCCCCUUGAAUACUAAAUGAUGGUUCAUCAGGGAAAUCAAAUCUAACCAAUUUAUAAUAACAGUCCACACUAGCAUUGUAGGGUGAUAACCAAUCCAUCCCCAAGAUCACAUCAAAGUCUAAAGUGUCUAACACCACUAGAUUCAUCAAAGUAUCUUUGUCUUGCUGCAAUACUAGCACUAGGCGAGUCACUCCCCUGCUGGGGUAAUCGUGAGUCCCUCUGUGGACCCUGACGGCUAGAAGAUGAACCACCACUGCUGAAAUCUCUACGGCCUUGAUAACCUUCUGUUUUGGCCCUUUUUGCUCUAUCCCUCGUAACUCUGCGCUCACUGGUCCUCAUUUUAAUCUGCUGAGCACAAUCUACCGUUGCAGAGUAGGUUUUAAAAUCUCGGGAUGCCAUAGCCCUAAAUAGUGGCUCUACUAGCCCAUCUACAAACCUCUGAAUCUUCAUCUCCUCAGUGGAAACUAGGUAAGGAGCAUACCGAGACAACUACGUGAACUUGAUGUCGUACUCUAACACCGUCAUACUCGAGGUCUAUACCAAAGUCUCAAACUCCCUAGCUUGUGCAUUACACUGAGUGGUAAGAAUCGAUCUAAAAAGGUUGCACUAAACUCACCCCAAGUCAAUGGUGCUGCAUCCGUCAGUCUGCCUCUACAUAGAGAACUAUACCACUCUUGCGCCACAUCCUCUAAUCGGAAGGCGGCUAGCUCGACUGAUCGAACACUAGAGCAUCUCAAAGCCUUACAUAUUUUCUCCAUCUUAUCUAAAAAGAUAUGGGGCUUCUCCGAUGCAUCGGACCCUGAAAAUGAUGAAGGCUUAAGCUUAAGAAAAUCAGGAAGAGAAAUCUCUAAGUGACCCCUCUCAACCUCAUGAUAUUGGUGGUCGACCUGUCCUUGGGAACUAGGGGAUUCUUGCACUGUAGGUCUCCCUUCUACUACCCUUUGUAUAUCCUCCAUACAGGUCACCAUCAUCUCUAUAACCCGAUUAACUCCCUGUAGGCCUGUCGCCAAAUCCUCAAUGGUAAUACCCCCAGCUGGGUGUCUAUCUACAUCACUUGAGGACUAUUCCUCCUCUCGCCUACUCAUAAGCGUAUCCACCCUCACCGGCCUAGUGGCCCUACCACGUCUACCUCGACCCCUUAGGGUGGAUGCUUGUGGCCUAUUUGCCAUCUCAGUAGGAGCAUCUUGCUCCCCCAUCCGUCUUGAGGUGGCUCGUGUCUUAGGCAGUAUUCUUACCAAAACAAGAGCAAACACCUGUUAUUAAACACAUUUUAUAAUCAUACUCAAGGCAAAAGGUGGUUUCUAAGAUAGAAAAUCUAUGCGGUCCCUUGGUCGUAAAAUGUGUCGCUGUUCACAGUUUACAACCAAAGUUCCCACAUAAAAACCCGACACUCCGCUGGACCAACAAAUGGAAAUCCUAUGACCUAGAAAAACCUAGCGCUCUGAUACCAACUUUGUCACGACCCAAAUUUCGGGCCAUGACCGGUGCAUGGGCCCAAUGGAUGUAGUCCACUAAGCCCAAUCAAGCCUAUUAAUCCGACAUGUUCAUCAUUCCAUCAUAAACUGCUAAGUCAUAUACCAUAACUUGGAAUCAAAAUAAUAUUAAGCAUUGCCAUUUCAUACUAGCAUACAAAACAGGUGUAUAUACACUGUCUACACAUGUAUCUUAAUAAUUCACAUUAGGUUCAUCUAUACACAACAAAAGGAGACUCGAUGUCUAGUUGAGAGACUCGGAAGAAUGUACAACUACUAAAUAUCGAGACACCUGCCAAAAGAUGGAUACAAGUCCACAAGGACACCUCGUUUUAGUUAUCGGCUAUCUCUUAAUCUGAAAACAUAAAGUUGAAAGCGAUGAGCAUAAACUCAAUGAGUGAACAAGAAGGGAACAAGCAUACCAUAAGGAAUGUUUAUCGAAAUCAUGAUGCACUUAUUUUCUCAAAACAAUGCAAUUUGUUCUAGUUUUUAGUAGAACCCCUCAUGUAAACCCCUCAUGAGUAAAUCACUUAAAAAAUCCAUACUUAACUAUGGUACCAAAGAAUUGAAAAAUAUAGCAAAACCCACAAGUUAGCCAAAAUGGACAGAAAGUUUCUCGCUGCAGCGAACUUCAUUCUCGUUGUAACGAGAACCAAGUCUGGUGAAGGCCCUCAAACCCGAGAGUUUCUCGCUACAGCGAGAGUCAAAACAUCAAGAAAAAAGUCUCAUUUUCCUUUAAAACAAACCAUCCUGCUAAAAUAACAAUAGCAACAUGUAACACAUGUAAACUCCUAAAUUUCAACAAAUCAAAUGCUCACAUAUUUGUAUUUACAACCAUAUACCAUAUUGUAUAUAUAUAUAUAUCCAUCAUCAUAUACACCCUCCCAUCAUCAUCAUCUCAUAUGCAACAGCUUAUGCGUACUCCCACUCGCAUAUAGCCGGGUCAACAAUGGCUUAUGUGCACUCCUACUCGCACAUAGUCAGGUCAGCAACGGCUUAUGUGCACUCCUACUAGCACAUAGCUGGGUUAGCAAUGGCUUAUGUGCAUUCCCACUCGCACAUAGCCGGGUCAGCAACGGCUUAUGUGCACUCCCACUGGCACAUAGUCGGGUCAGCAACGACUUAUGUGCACUCCUACUCGCACAUAGCCAGGUCCACAUCAACAUGCAAAGAAGCAUCCAAUGUGUAUCAUGCAUUUUAUCAUAUUGUGAUAACACAUAAACCAUUGUAUAGCACAUUUUCACAAUAUAAAAUCAUUUUACUAAAAGCUUGUUCCCAAGGUAUAUUUUCUAAGACAAGUUGGAUAGAAUCUUUCAUAUUCCCUAAAACAAGUUUGAAAUGCAAGUCCAUUCACCAGUAUUCGUUGAGCCUUUAGCCGACUUUUAAUCCCCCUAAUGAUCUAAUUGGGGUGAUGGGGCUUUGUUAGCACCUACCAUCAAAUUAACAUUUCCAUAAUGUCAAUUUACAUACUAUAAACCCUAAAAGCUAUCUUUUAGCUAGUUGUCAAUUACCAUUUAAAUGGCCAUCCAUUUUCACUUUCUUAUCACUCCAAAGUCAAUUAACAAUCUCAACUUCAAAAUAUUCACAAAUCAAAUCUCUAGUCAUUCUCAAUACUUAAAACCCAAUACUAGUUUACUACUCACCUUGAUAGCUUUGUAACUUUGAACUUCUUUCCAAAAGCUCUCAAGCUAUUAAUAAAGCUUCCUCUUUCUCUCUUUAAAACACCUAACUAGUGAGAGAUUAUGGAAACAAGAAUUUCAUCAUUUUCAAGGGUUUUAAAGUGAGAGAGUGGAAGAAUACAAGGGUUCUAGUCAAAAGGGCACCAAGGUAUGAAAAUUAGAACUAGAGAGAGAAAGUUAUGAAAGCUUCACAUCAAGCUUCCAUGGAGGAAUUGAAGAAACGUGAGAGGGAAGAGAACAAGAAGAAGAAGCUGUUAGAAAUCCCAAAAAGUUGCUAGAAGGAGAGGAUAUUUAUGGCCGAAGCUUAUCCACUCCCUUGGAAAUUACUAAAAUGCCCCUCCACAAAUUAACUUAAUCCUUGAAAUCCCACACUUUUUCUUCAAUUUUCCCACCUAGGGUUCGUGUUCUUUCC
rnacentral:lncRNA from 1 species